UACGGAGGAUGCAAGCGUUAUCCGGAAUGAUUGGGCGUAAAGCGUCCGCAGGUGGCUGUGUAAGUCUGCUGUUAAAGAGUGAGGCUCAACCUCAUAAAAGCAGUGGAAACUACAAGGCUAGAGUACGUUCGGGGCAGAGGGAAUUCCUGGUGUAGCGGUGAAAUGCGUAGAGAUCAGGAAGAACACCAGUGGCGAAGGCGCUCUGCUAGGCCGUAACUGACACUGAGGGACGAAAGCUAGGGGAGCGAAUGGG
rnacentral:rRNA from 1 species